rnacentral:lncRNA from 1 species
UAUAUAUAUAUAUUGGGCCAGUUGAAUUAUUCCUGAAUUAUUGAAAAUCUGAAUAAAAAAUUUAUAAUUUUUAUGUUUAAAUAUAUAUUAUCUUAUAUUUUAUGUUUUAUACUGAAUUUAUUUUUUAAGCCGAAUUUUUCAACGAAUUUAAAAAUUAGAAAACAAAUUUUAUGCGUAUUAUACCCGUAUUGAAUUUUUGCCGAAUUCGAAUUAACUAACUAUGUUUUUUAGUACAUUAAUGCACAACUA